rnacentral:rRNA from 1 species
AUUGAACGCUGGCGGCAGGCUUAACACAUGCAAGUCGAGCGGGGGAAGGUAGCUUGCUACCGGACCUAGCGGCGGACGGGCGAGUAAUGCUUAGGAAUCUGCCUAUUAGUGGGGGACAACAUCUCGAAAGGGAUGCUAAUACCGCAUACGUCCUACGGGAGCAAGCAGGGGAUCUUCGGACCUUGCGCUACUAGAUGAGCCUAAGUGCGAUUAGCUAGUUGGGGGUGUAAAGGCCUACCAAGGCGACGAUCUGUAGCGGGUCUGAGAGGAUGAUCCGCCACACUGGGACUGAGACACGGCCCAGACUCCUACGGGAGGCAGCAGUGGGGAAUAUUGGACAAUGGGGGGAACCCUGAUCCAGCCAUGCCGCGUGUGUGAAGAAGGCCUUAUGGUUGUAAAGCACUUUAAGCGAGGAGGAGGCUACUCUAGUUAAUACCUAGGGAUAGUGGACGUUACUCGCAGAAUAAGCACCGGCUAACUCUGUGCCAGCCGCCGCCGUAA